rnacentral:misc_RNA from 1 species
UCUCCGUAGGUGAACCUGCGGAGGGAUCAUUACAAGUGACCCCGGUCUUACCACCGGGAUGUUCAUAACCCUUUGUUGUCCGACUCUGUUGCCUCCGGGGCGACCCUGCCUUCGGGCGGGGGCUCCGGGUGGACACUUCAAACUCUUGCGUAACUUUGCAGUCUGAGUAAGCUUAAUUAAUAAAUUAAAACUUUUAACAACGGAUCUCUUGGUUCUG